rnacentral:rRNA from 1 species
AAACCGAGGGAGCGUGCUCCUUCGGGGUUGUAGGACCGCAUUUAGAAACCAUCAUCAAGCUGAACCAUCUGGAAAGUUGGACUAUAGGGCGUGAAAGUCGCGUAAGCGUAAAUUGAUGGGGACGAGCGGUAUCCUGAGUAGGGCGGGACCGGAGAAAUCCUGCUUGAAUCUGCCAGCACCAUCUGGUAAGGCUAAAUC